GCGAAAGCCUGAUGCAGCAACGCCGCGUGAACGAUGAAGGUCUUCGGAUCGUAAAGUUCUGUUGCAGGGGAAGAUAAUGACGGUACCCUGUGAGGAAGCCCCGGCUAACUACGUGCCAGCAGCCGCGGUAAUACGUAGGGGGCUAGCGUUAUCCGGAUUUACUGGGCGUAAAGGGUGCGUAGGUGGUCCUUCAAGUCGGUGGUUAAAGGCUACGGCUCAACCGUAGUAAGCCGCCGUAACUGGAGGACUUGAGUGCAGGAGAGGAAAGUGGAAUUCCCAGUGUAGCGGUGAAAUGCGUAGAUAUUGGGAGGAACACCAGUAGCGAAGGCGGCUUUCUGGACUGCAACUGACACUGAGGCACGAAAGCGUGGGUAGCAAACAGGAUUAGAUACCCUGGUAGUCCACGCUGUAAACGAUGAGUACUAGGUGUCGGGGUUACCCCCUCGGUGCCGCAGCUAACGCAUUAAGUAUUCCGCCUGGGGAGUACGCACGCAGUGUGAAACUCAAAGGAAUUGACGGGGACCGCA
rnacentral:rRNA from 1 species